rnacentral:lncRNA from 1 species
GAGAAAGGUGUGUAGCCACUUGGGUUUCACCAAAACCGAAGUUUCUACACACUUUGAUCAAUCACUUCUCUUAUUUCUCACACAUUCAAGCCUUGUUCUUACUUUGUUCUUGAGAUUUUGUGGAUUUGUAUAGUGAUUUGGAUUCUAGAAACCGAAAUCGCUAUACUUUGAAGCAUUUCUCUUCUCAUAUAGCAUCUAGGAGGCAAGGGAGACAUCUUGUGCUUUUGGUUUGGCUCCAAAAAGAGCUAAACCCAUGGGGCACUAGCAGUUGGGAGAUUUUUGAAGACUACAUUGCAAAGUGCUAGUCAAGAUGACCGAUGAAGUGUUAUAAUGUUCUUUAUAUUAGGUUCAAAAAUGUAAAGUUUAUAUUU